UGUGAUGUAGAGAUCAAGGGCACAGCCAUGCAGCUAGACCUGGACUUGAAUGCUGAUUCUGGGUAAUUUAGGUGAGGGACUUAACCUCUCUGAGCCUCAGUUUUUGCAUCUGUAAAGUAGGGUAAUAUCAUCUGCAUCAUAGAAUUAUUGUGAGAAUUCGAUGAGAUUAUAACUAAGCAGUUCUUAAUGCAGUGGCUAGUACAGAGCAGCACCCCAUAAAUGACAGCUACACCCGUGCCUCAAUGAAUGAUGCCCAAAUGAUAAGAGUGGAACUGGAUGGCCCUGAUGCCUCUGCUCAGUCAGUGGGUCCCGAGCAUCCCAAGGCCUGGGCUCACCUCUUGGGAGUCACAUGGGGCAGCUACAGGAGCCUAGGCACAUCACUGCCUGGCUCUGGGUCUCCUCACUGAAAAUGAGGAUGACAGCUGAGUUCCUUCCACCUACACACUCCAUGCCCACACACUUAAAGAGCAGGGUAAACAAGAACUGGCAACACAGGCUGCUGCUAGGGAGAGAAAUGGAUGACUGGAUUCAGGGGUGGGAAGAACUUCAUUGUUUCCUUUUUCCUGUGUUUUGAAUUUUGAAAUAUAUGAAUACAUUAUUCAAAAAAAUAGAUAAAAAAUUUUAAAAUGCAAAGACCAAAUUAGUAUGCAGCCUGAGGCCAUGUGAGCCCAGAGGAGGAAGGUUGCAGACAGCAGCAGUCACAGUUGCAUUGGGAAUGCUCUUGCGAAAGGAAAGGGCAAAGAGAGCAGCAGGGGCGCAGGAGUGUCAGCUAAUUGGGGUCCCUGGAAAGAGCAGUGAGAGGCAGAGGUGUGUGCACCUCGGCAUGACAGGAAUUCUCUGGGAGUGGCAUAUGCUGACUGGACUUCACAAAAAAAUGACCUAAAAUGGUCUUGUGUCAAGUUCAAGUUUGCUUCUGUUGGGAGGUGGAUUGUCAAUAGAAUGGAAUUAAGAAAAGGGAAGGAGGAUGAGAUCGCAGCCUGAGCCAUUCAUUCUGAGUAUCUAUGCUGUAAGAAAUUUGCCACUCUGAUAAUCCUUGGGGUGGAAUGUAGCUGAGUGUGGCUGUCUCUUGUUCACUUCUCAACACUCUCGGGGAUGAUAUUAUCCCCAUUUUAGAGAUAAGGAAAUUGAGGCUCAGAGAGGUUAAGUAAUGUUUCCAAAGUGACACAGAAGGUAUUAGAGAGAACUGUGAUUUUAAUCCUGGUCUGAAGUCAAAGUCCAUGCCUUUUUCACUCUGAUACCCUAAUCCUUCCAUCUCCUCUGCUAGUCUGGGAAAGUCCUGGUUAGAGCUCCACAAAGGGCAGAAGCAGAGAUGGAGAUGCUCAGAGUUUCCUGAAGAGGCAAACAGUUAGGCUGGCAGGAAGAGGGAGAAAGGGUGAUACAGAGGGCCCUGGGGAGCUGAUGCUGGCUCUCCAGGCUUCCACUCUGUCACUAGCAAGUCCCGGGGCACCUGGGAGUGUUGGGGACCAGAGACUGGGGGGUAACCAAGGGGAGAACUUGAGGAGAGAAGGGAGGGCAGCUUAGAGAAAUGGAGG
rnacentral:lncRNA from 10 species